rnacentral:pre_miRNA from 1 species
AUUAUACUCCCUCCGUCCGAAAAUACUUGUCAUCAAAAUGGACAAAAAGGGAUGUAUCUAAAACUAAAAUACAUCUAGAUACAUCCCUUUUAUCCAUUUUGAUGACAAGUAUUUCCAGACGGAGGGAGUAUAUA